GACGAACGCUGGCGGCGUGCUUAACACAUGCAAGUCGAACGGACAGGCCCUGCUUUUGUGGGGUGCUCGAGUGGCGAACGGGUGAGUAACACGUGAGUAACCUGCCCUUGACUUUGGGAUAACUUCAGGAAACUGGGGCUAAUAUCGGGUAGGAGCUCCUGCUGCAUGGUGGUGGUUGGAAAGUUUCGGCGGUUGGGGAUGGACUCGCGGCUUAUCAGCUUCUUGGUGGGGUAGUUGCUUACCAGGGCUUUGACGGGUAGCCGGCAUGAGAGGGUGACCGGCCACCUUGGGACUGCGAUACGGCCCAGACGCCUACGGGAGGCAGCAGUGGGGAAUAUUGCACAAUGGGCGGAAGCCUGAUGCAGCAACGCUGCGUGCGUGAUGACGGGCUUCGGGUUGUAAACCGCUUUGGACUGUGACGAAGCGUGAGUGACGGUAAUGGGUAAAGAAGCACCGGCUAACUACGUG
rnacentral:rRNA from 1 species